CUAGACUCCUGUGCCUCAUUUUCUUUUUAAAAAAUUGUUUAAUGUUUUUAUUUAUUUUUUGAGAGAGAGAGAGAGGCAGAAUAUGAGCAGGGGAGGGGCAGAGAGAGAGAAAGAGACCCAGAAUGUGAAGCAGGCUCCAGGCUCCGAGCUGUCAGCACAGAGCCCAACGCGGGGCUCGAACCCACAGACUGCGAGAUCAUGACCUGAGCCAAAGUCGGACACUCAGCCGACUGAGCCACCCAGGCGCCCCUCCUGUGCCUCGUUUUCACCUCUGUGCCAGAGCUUCCUGCCUACCUGUGUGUCCCAACAGGCCUCCCUGUCCUCACCUUUCAAGUGGAGGUGACCACAGUACCUGCCUCAUGGCACAGCUGCACAGGACUCGGUGAGGCAGCCAUUUUCAGUGGACCGUGUUAAGUGGCCAUCAUCCCUUGCUGCCCUCACCCGCUACGGAGCCGUCAGGGGGCGGGGAGGGGGACCGACUCCAGCUGGGCACGGAUGGGUCUACACCAUGCAUAGUAUGGCGCAGCCAACGGGAAGGAUGGGGGACACAUAGCAUCAUCACACUGGGAGAUCAAUAUGACGUCUCAACCCAAGAGGGCAGAUGCUCUCCUUGCCGAAAUAAUAAACCUGAGAAACAGAUGAUGUCGCUUGAUCUGUGACCAACCAGGCCUGCUCACUCCUUGAAGGUUAACAGAAUAAAAUGACUGGAAAUUAGUCUGGCCUAAUACACACUGUCAAAUAGCAGGGAAAUCCUACGAGGACAGUGAAAAAAAAAAUACUUCUGCAGCCUUGCCAUUUGAUGCCACACUGCAGAGCGAUCCCCUGUGAAAUGACUUCCGUCCAGGGCCACAAAACAAAACCAUCUAACCUUCCUUAUCACACCUUCCACCUUACGAGACGUUGGUUGUAAAUCUCCUUCAGGGCCUAUAUUUGCUGCUGUUGGCACGCCUUAACAGGAUAAACCGUAGAGGGGAAAUCCGAUCGGCAGGUAUUGCACAGCCGAGGGCCGCCGGGCCGCGCACUUGUCACACGCAUCUCGUGGCCUCCCCACACCACAUCAUCCGCACGGUACACGCACAACGGAGGCUGCAUUUCAGCUGCUUCCAAUUAGCGGACUGUGUCUAGCACAACUGUGUCUAGCACAGCCACGCUUUUUGUAAAUGGCUGGGAGUUAGGCCAGAAGUCAGACUUCUCGAAUUCCAUUUCCUUCUCUAAGAUACAAACGUCUUCACGGAUGUGGGAAGCUGCGUUUGUUUCUCCCUUUUCUCCCGCUUCACAACGGGGACGCGGUGGUGUGCGUGGGGGGAGGAUGAGACCAGCAGCCCCCGCCCCCGUGGCGUGGAAUUGGUAAAGACCAGUUUCAUUUAGUCUCAUGGCCUUUGGUUCCGAGUCUUCCCCGAGCAGACCUCCGGGGAUCUCUGGUUGUGCUCCCACACUUGGGCCUGUGUUUUUAAACUUGAGUCCCAGUUAUAAUUUUAGGUCGAAACAGGAGAAAUUAGUGACCGUUGAGC